UACGAAGGGGGCUAGCGUUGUUCGGAAUUACUGGGCGUAAAGGGCGCGUAGGCGGCUGUGCAAGUCAGGUGUGAAAGCCCUGGGCUCAACCCAGGAUGUGCACUUGAUACUGCACGGCUAGAGUGUCGGAGAGGAUGGUGGAAUUCCCAGUGUAGAGGUGAAAUUCGUAGAUAUUGGGAAGAACACCGGUGGCGAAGGCGGAUCUCUGGGCCUUACCUGACGCUCAGGUGCGAAAGCUAGGGGAGCGAACGAG
rnacentral:rRNA from 1 species